rnacentral:rRNA from 1 species
UACGUAGGGCGCAAGCGUUGUCCGGAAUUAUUGGGCGUAAAGAGCUCGUAGGCGGUUUGUCGCGUCUGCUGUGAAAACCUAAGGCUCAACCUUGGGCUUGCAGUGGGUACGGGCAGACUAGAGUGCGGUAGGGGGUGACUGGAAUUCCUGGUGUAGCGGUGGAAUGCGCAGAUAUCAGGAGGAACACCGAUGGCGAAGGCAGGUCACUGGGCCGCAACUGACGCUGAGGAGCGGAAAGCCAGGGGAGCGAACGGG